rnacentral:rRNA from 1 species
AGAUGGCGACCGGCGCACGGGUGAGUAACACGUAUCCAACCUGCCGAUAACUCGGGGAUAGCCUUUCGAAAGAAAGAUUAAUACCCGAUGGUAUAAUCAGACCGCAUGGUUUGAUUAUUAAAGAAUUUCGGUUAUCGAUGGGGAUGCGUUCCAUUAGGCAGUUGGUGAGGUAACGGCUCACCAAACCUUCGAUGGAUAGGGGUUCUGAGAGGAGGGUCCCCCACAUUGGAACUGAGACACGGUCCAA